GGGCGGUUAGCUCAGUUGGUAGAGCGAUUCUUUGACGUAGAAUAGGCCACAGGUUCGAAUCCUGUACCGCCCA
rnacentral:tRNA from 1 species